rnacentral:lncRNA from 1 species
CAUAUUCCUAUUCUUCACUCGCCACCCCUGUUCUGACUUCUACUUAUCCAGGAAAGUAUUAUGAAGACAUAUAAGUUAAUGGAAGGAAGAGGAUGAAAUCUUUCUGCCCUUUUGCCGAACACAGGUUGUUCUAAUCACUGAGAGGGAAAUAGAGGCCUCUCUGAGCAAAUCCAGUGGGUAAGCCACCACCCAAACACUGAUGACACCCAGAAUUGUCCUAUGUCUCCUGGGAAACCACCACAGCAUCUCUGUUCUGAAUUGUCCACUGCUCCCACUGGUUGUUUACCUUGGAAGAACCACAUCAAAGAAAAAAAGGGGAUCCUCCCAGAAGAAGAUGUCCUAACUUCAGUGCAACAAAAACCUGAGGGAUAACAUCAGAUUUUGCCAGAAUGGAGUUACAUCCUGGCUGUCAUACAGAAACCCAGGCCUCCGACAGUGAGCACACUAUUAUGCCACAUUCUUUCAACAACUCCAGAAUGGAGGAAAACAAUGACAUGGGUAAUUUAAAAUAAUAGAGGAUUAAAAAAAAAAUGCUUUGUGUCUGAAGCUUUGAAUUAAUUAUAUGAUUACUAUUUUGUUUACUUGAGUUCCUAACCACAUUUUUCAAAUGUUAAAUUACAAUUGUUCCACAAUUUCUGAAACAAAGUUAGCUAAGAACUAGAGCAAGUCAGCCAAGAAAAUACCAGACAGCAGAGAAACUAAAUUCAAGGUCCAGCUUCUAUGAG